AAUAAAACUCUGUUGAUAAUCCACUUUAAAGUGAAAAAAAAAGUGCUAAAAAAAGAAAGAAUGGCACUGCAAUAAAAUGUCAGGAAUGACCAAGACAAGUCUGAUGGAAGAAAAAGAACCAAAGCACAGGACACACCAAGUGUGACCUAAAUGCAGAGAGAGUGGGAAACUGAUCCUUAAAGAGCCUGUGUAUCAUGUGGUGUCUGAUUCAAAUCAUCAAUGUUUAAUACUCCUACCAGAUAUUACACAUUUCCCAGAUGACUGAAUGCCACAGAUGAAGGGUCCAUGACAGUCUUUGGAUCUCGAGACUACAGUUCAGUGUUGGGCAUUAAAAAUGUGCUUGGUAGAGGUCUACUGAGUAGGCGAACUUGGAAGAUUUCUGAGCAAGGAAUUCUCAACGAGCAACAGUGUGAUGGCAGUGGGGAACCCCAUGGGACAAAAGAAAGAGGAUAUGUGUAUGUUUUUGUGGAACAGUCUGCAACGUCCUGUAGGCAAAGAGGGAAGGAUCUAGAAUGCGUGUGCCCCGAACUUCAUGUGUGCUCACCUUAACCACACAGAGAAAAUUUCACAUAUGAUGUGGAGACACCACGAAACAAGACCAGCUACACAGACAGGAAGUAGCAGAGGACGGAUAAGAACACAGGUCUGUCUCUUCACUGCUCCAUCACUAAUGCCAUUGGCAGCACUAAGAAGGGGUGACAUGAGGAUGUUUUGUGGAGCAUGACAUUUUAGAAAUUUCUCGGACCUCGAGAGUUCUCGGAUUCAGGAGUCUGGGAACCAGAACUGCUGUAUCCUUCCAUGUCUUGCCUUCUUUGUCGAACUACUCCAUCCAGAUCUGAGAAUUCAUCGUUGAAAUCCUGAAGGGAAACAAGGCAGUGUACAAAAUCCAAUUCCCCUCAUUACACAGGCAGGCCUCUGGAACCCCCAGGCCUUUCCACUUAGGCCUAACCUAUAAAAUACUGAAAAGAAGGGAAGAUUACCCCGUACCACUGGGAUUUCCCCCAACAGGUCAGAGGAUCUGGUUACUGAAACACAUUUUUUCUGGGGAUUUAGAAUCCUGUCAACAGUGGCCAACUUGUUUCAAACAACAAAUGUCUAGGGGGAAAAAAAAAGAGCUGAACUAA